rnacentral:rRNA from 1 species
UACGGGGGGAGCAAGCGUUGUUCGGAUUUACUGGGCGUAAAGGGCGCGUAGGCGGCGUGACAAGUCACUUGUGAAAUCUCCGGGCUUAACUCGGAACGGUCAAGUGAUACUGUCGUGCUAGAGUACAGAAGGGGCAACUGGAAUUCUCGGUGUAGCGGUGAAAUGCGUAGAUAUCGGGAGGAACACCAGUGGCGAAGGCGACUACCCUGCCUGUUCUUGACGCUGAGGCGCGAAAGCUAGGGGAGCAAACGGGG